UCUGUGUCUUCCUCUCCCCUUUUCUUUUUUCUGUCUAGGUCUUGUUUUGAGAUAAUGUGGAAUCAGUGGAGGAAUUAGCUUGACGGCUAACUUCCUUAGCACAGCCGUUGUGCCUUGAAUUUUAUUACAGCGCUGCCGACUGAUCUACUUCCAAUUUACUGUAGAAUAGGGGCUCCAGCUCCGAUCCGACAGCAUUCACUUCCUUAUUUACAUCAGCUGCUGUCUGCUUUUUUUCGACUUCCUGCUUGUAGUCUCCUGCGUGUGUACAACGGCAGAGACACUUAGAGGCUGGAGAGAGAAAACCUGUUCGACAAGCACAACAAAGACAGUGAAACUCCAAACCGGAGGCAGGGCAAGGUAGGGGAAGGGCAGCUGUCAAAACUGAGCAGAGGCAGUGAGCAGUGAGAUACAGAUGGAUAGUCAGGCAUGAAGUGGGACCGAACACACAAAGCGGAUGAACCGGUGAAUCCACCAUCACUUCCUUGGCAAAUCUUCCCUCACUGUGCCCCAUCCCAGCCUACACCCUGCUCCAAACACAGCUCUUAUCAGCCUCUUACACUCACUCUGUAACCACGGUAACUGUCUUACACCACUAGUUGUUAGGGCAGUGAUGUGCAACCAGCAGUUUCCUGCGGGGACCACUGUCCACUUUUGCUCAGGGCUGCAGAAAUAGGGUGUCAUGGGACAACAGUAAUAACGUUGUUCAGAAUCAAACAUCCAGUGCAGGUAAUGUGAUGACUUUGAUUUCUCACUACACAGUUCAGUGUGUGGAAACAAUUAAGCUUAGGCUUGUAUUCCUAAAGCAAAUUGAAAUGUAUCGUACAUCAGUAGUCCUUUCUUUCAUUGGUUACACAUGGGAAGAGUUUCAGGCAGUAUAGACAGAUUACUUUUAAAACUUGUUUUGAACAUAUCGCUUAGCCUGAGCUACAGUUUGGAGGUGGAAAAACACCUGCACAGUAUUUUCCUCUCCUUUUAUUAGACUUUUAAGUAUUUUAUUCAUUUGAAAUUGUAUAUGGUAUUUAUACAAUACUGAAUUUUGUGCUUUUUGUUCUGGGGUCCUGGGGUUUUAGUGUUUAGGGGGUGGCAGGGAUGUAUUUGUUUUGUUUUUUUUUAAACUAUUGUUCUGA